rnacentral:rRNA from 1 species
AUUGAACGCUGGCGGCAGGCCUAACACAUGCAAGUCGAGCGGAUGAGGGGUGCUUGCAUCCCGAUUCAGCGGCGGACGGGUGAGUAAUGCCUAGGAAUCUGCCCGAUAGUGGGGGACAACGUUUCGAAAGGAACGCUAAUACCGCAUACGUCCUACGGGAGAAAGUGGGGGCUCUUCGGACCUCACGCUAUCGGAUGAGCCUAGGUCGGAUUAGCUAGUUGGUGGGGUAAAGGCUCACAAAGGCGACGAUCCGUAACUGGUCUGAGAGGAUGAUCAGUCACACUGGAACUGAGACACGGUCCAGACUCCUACGGGAGGCAGCAGUGGGGAAUAUUGGACAAUGGGCGAAAGCCUGAUCCAGCCAUGCCGCGUGUGUGAAGAAGGUCUUCGGAUUGUAAAGCACUUUAAGUCGGGAGGAAGGGUUGUAGGUUAAUACCUUGCAGCCUUGACGUUACCGACAGAAUAAGCACCGGCUAACUUCGUGCCAGCAGCCGCCGUAACAC